UACGUAGGGGGCAAGCGUUGUCCGGAUUUAUUGGGCGUAAAGAGCGUGUAGGCGGCCAGGUAGGUCAGCUGUGAAAACUCGAGGCUCAACCUCGAGACGCCGGUUGAAACCAUCUGGCUAGAGUCCGGAAGAGGAGAGUGGAAUUCCUGGUGUAGCGGUGAAAUGCGCAGAUAUCAGGAGGAACACCAAUGGCGAAGGCAGCUCGCUGGAACGCUACUGACGCUGAGGCGCGGAAAGCGUGGGGAGCGAACGGG
rnacentral:rRNA from 1 species